UCAUGAUCUUGGGAAUGAGAGAGGAACUUCCCAUCAGCAUUUCAUUGGGGGAAAUGAAUAACAAGGUGAGUGAACAAGAAGACACGGAGCAGCUCCGGAGACCAAAGCCAGCAUCUUCCUAAUGUGGACCCAGCCUGGGUCUUGGCCCACGUGAUCCUGAUGUCCUGAUGUCACCUGCAUUGUUCAGUGACACUCACAGCUGGAAGCAGACACCUUGGCCCCAAAGCAGACAACCUUGCCACUCUGGCCAGAGCUCUGGCACUGCCUGUGACCUGUGACCCCUGACCCAUGGCCUGUGACCCCUGAGCCCCGAGUCACACUGCCCCAGCACUGUCCUGCCUAUGGCAUCACCGUCCAGACAUCCAGUCCACGCUCUGCUUCGCCUCCAUCCCAGGCGAGAAGUUCAGGCCACAGCUCCCUAAAGAGCACCUGUGCCACUGUCACUCGCAUUGGGCUUCCACUCCCAGCCACGGCCCAGCCUCCCUGGGUCGGGGUUUAGUUCACGCUGUCACUCAGCGUCCCUGGCUGUAGGCCGCUGUCUCCAGGGCAAGGGCAGAACUGAGCACAGCGGCCCCCACGGCCCAGGAGCGCCUCCCGCACUCCAGGGACCCUCCACACAGCUGUCGGCCGCCCCAGGUGUGCCCCUGGCACGGCCGUCGCCCCGGCGCCCACUCUGGAGGGGCCUCAUCUGGCCACAUCUUCGCUCUCAUUCCCAGAAAGCUGGCUGGCCAUUCCCACACAUCCUCCGGUUACCACGCUGCGCGUCAGCUCGGGGUCCUCGUUACAAGAACCAGGCAGGGACGAGAAAACAAUCGAGAUGGUGACUAACUCAAAAUCAUGCUGAGAGUGACAGAGCUGGCGCUCAGUCCUAUCUUCCAGCCAGAGGAAGCUGGGAUCAGAGCCUGGACCUUGUACAAGUUCAUUUCCACUAAGACAAAAAUUGAGCUUCCUCCUUGAGUGUCUGCAAGGCGGAGUGUGAGGCUGAAAAUCAUCGUGAACUCGGGCAGGUUCCCUGGGUAUCGCAGACAGAAGUGGCCCAUCCCUUCCCGGGUACAUCUAGACCCUCCGACAUGGUGCGGCCUGGGGCCUGGAAGGCCCUUGCCUCCUGCAAGUCAUGGCACAGCCAUGGCCAGGCGGUAGGAGACGUUGAUGUUGACCUCACCGUAGAAAACGUGGCCCUGGGAAAGGCUGACGUUCACGAAACUACUUAUCCCAAGAAGCUAGCUGUUCUUCAUGUGGUUGCAGCCGAGUGGCUAAGAUGAGACUCAGCCUCUAGCAGGCCCUGUUUGGAGAGCUCUGUAGAGAAGGCAGGUGGCCCUGUGUGGUUCACCUCUGUCGUGUCGUCCUCAGCAAGUGACAGCUGAGACCGUGUGAAUCUAAAAGCAAAUCACUACACAAUUAACAAAAUUCAGUAAAGCAAAUCUUGCCUGUUAUCCUGUAAGGAGCUGACUUCAUCACACCGAGCUGGCUUGUUGUGGAGUCCAGGCACCGAUAUCGGCGGCCUUGUGUAGCUGCUGACCCCAGGGCAGUGCCUGGUCCACCCCUUGGGGCCGCGGAACCUGUCCUCCUCCCUGGGUGGUCAGAACUGGGUCACCCUUCACCCCAGAAGCUGCCACUCGGCUUCCUGGGCAUCGCUCAGGCCCUGCAGGUUUGCUGUCCCCAGUCCGCUUCUUCCGUGUGUCUGCUUGAGCCACGGGGCAUAAUGAAAACCAGGGCGCUGACUGACCGGCCCACCACACACCUCGACUUCCACCAGCAUUUCUGUCAAUGCCUGCAUGCCGGCACCAGCCAGUCUCAGGGGAGGUGCCCAGUUCAAACAUCACUCUCUGCUUCUGUAUCUUAAGAAUCUUUGAUGUCACUGUUGCUGCCGCUGUUAGUCUUACAGAAACACAGAAUGUCCUGCUCUGCAGUACCCCAUUCAUGAGAGAUCGGAAGUGGGAGCCGCACCCAUCCCCAGCAUUGGAGUGACACCCAGUGAGCCCACAGGUUCCAGGGUCCUCAUCGGCACUGGGAUCCAAGGUCACCGGCUGGACCAGAAAGGUGCAUUGCACAGCCUGGGGCUGCUUGGGGAGAUCCCAGAGUUCCGGCGAGCGCAGGAGUCCGGAUCGCAGCGCAUUCCGGUGUUAAACAGCAGCUUCCCUCUGUGGGUCCACACCGCACCUCGCUCUCAGGUCCCUAACUCGAGUGGAGAAAGCAGCUGCUCACAGAGCUCCCGUGGGCACCCAGGCUUCCUGAUUUCUGAGGCUGACGCUAAUUACCCAGCCUGUUGCAUUUCAGGGUUUGCAUUUGCUCAGCAACUGUGUGCAGUUACAGCUCCGGCACGGAGAAACAGGACAGCCGGGCGAUGUGACACGCAGGCCACGGCGAGGGAGGCCUCCGCCCGGCCUGCCCAGCACCCAAGCUUGCGAGCUCCCAGACACACCUUCCACAAGCGCUAGAUUUGUGUCGGGGCAUCUCGCCAGGCGUGUGUGAACAAGCUUUACUUUACACGCCAUGGACAGGUUAAGAACCUCACUUUCUUUCUCCUUCUUUGCUUUCUUCCUUUCCCUUACCUCUUUCUUACUAGCGUAUCAACCGUGGAAUAGGAAGAAUACUUGCUAGCUCCAUUUUGCUGUCUUGGGAAAUACAUAGAGACUAUGAAAAAUAUACUUGGGCAUGAAACAAACUCUUCCCUCUAUGCAGGUUUGACACCCGGGAGCCCAAGCUGUCUCCCAGGGAAAGCCAGGCUCGGCACCAGCAAAGGAGGCCUUACUAGAGCUCACCCGGCUCGCGUCUGCGUCCUAAAUCUCUUGUUGUUCAGGCUGAAUCAGGAAUGUGUCUGUCCUAGCAAGGUGCUUUUGAGGCUUUGCCUGGUCUUCUCCUCGGAGAAAUGCCACACCUAUGUUUCUCUCUUUCUUUCAUAUUUCACUACCUUCUGAGAAUAAAUAGGAAACACCUAAAAUCUAGUUCCUCUUGUACAUGGAAAGACCGCUUUUUCCCAUCAACAUCUCGAGUUCCAUCCACCUCGAAAUUACAGAUCUCGCUUGUUCGUGCUGUUGUGCCCAGUCACAAGAAGCGUCUUCAAACUUUGUGUUUUCUCCACG